AGUGAACGCUGGCGGCGUGCUUAACACAUGCAAGUCGAACGAGAACGGAAUAUAGCUUGCUAUAUUUGUCAGCUAAGUGGCGCACGGGUGAGUAAUGUAUAGAUAACCUGCCCUUAAGAAAGGAAUAACAGUUGGAAACGACUGCUAAUGCCCUAUAUGCCUUUAGUACAUAAGUAUGCAAGGGAAACGCUUUAGUGCUUAAGGAUGGGUCUGUAUGGUAUCAGCUUGUUGGUGAGGUAAUGGCUCACCAAGGCUAUGACGCCUAACUGGUUUGAGAGGAUGAUCAGUCACACUGGAACUGAGACACGGUCCAGACUCCUACGGGAGGCAGCAGUGGGGAAUAUUGCACAAUGGACGAAAGUCUGAUGCAGCAACGCCGCGUGGAGGAUGACACAUUUCGGUGCGUAAACUCCUUUUAUAUAGGAAGAUAAUGACGGUACUAUAUGGAUAAGCACCGGCUAACUCCGUGCCAGCAGCCGCAGUAA
rnacentral:rRNA from 1 species